GCACCAGUGAAGAAAAAUCAGCUAAGACAGGUUGCUUAUUUGGCCAAAGACUGGGUAGAUAAAGGGGAGAACAAAGAUGGGAAAAGAAAUGUCAUGAAACAGGACAGGGCAGCAUUGCAUUCCUGACAUCACUUUUUGAUGCUUCAAUGUUGGCUCUUCCUAUCACUGUGAAGAAUUCAACAAGCUUUGGAUUUUUCACCCACUAAUAAGGAACGUCAGCUGUGUUUAUGCCGUCAUGAGACAGGUUAGUUUUACCCUGCUGAUGAUGUUUUGUUGAACUAGUACAGGUCUGCACACCUUUUCUGAUGCUGCUUAAUGCUACCGAUCUGUCAGCUAUGUGCUUGGUCACUGCAGCAGGAGCAGGAUAAGAAACAAGACCUGAUGCUCUGACCAGAUCAUCAAAGUUACAUCUAUUUGUGGUCAAGAAGAUCAGCAGGGAAUGAGGAGGGUGUUCUCCCUCAUCAGUGAGGGAAAACUUGGAUGAAAAAAUUACAACUUUGGUCCCUGUUCCAUACCUGAUGGCCUCAGUUCCACUUUAUAAAAGUUCUGUAAUACAUCUUGUGAAAAAAAAAAUAAAUUAUUUUUAAAGUGAGGAUAAGUUUCCAGAAACU
rnacentral:ncRNA from 1 species